ensembl:ncRNA K11E8.7 ncRNA
CACAAAUCGUUACACAAAAAUCAUUGGAAAACCUCUAUCAUCAAGCAUAGGAAGCGACGAAAUCAACACGAAUUUAUUGAUUGGUCACUUACUGGAUAGCUUCUUUUCUCUGCUUUUCUCGCAUUCUCUCUCUUCCCUUUU